rnacentral:tRNA from 13 species
ACGUCGUCGCGGGUUCGAUUCCCGUGCGC